ACGGACGGCUGGAUGAUCGCGCCCUUCUUCGGAAGGUCGAGGAAAGUCCGGACUCCAUCACAGGCACGGUGCCGGGUAACGCCCGGCGGGGGCAACCCCAGGGACAGCGCCACAGAGAACAGACCGCCGGGCAGCGCUCGGCAAGGGUGAAACGGUGGGGUAAGAGCCCACCGCGCGAGCGGUAACGCAAGCGGCACGGCAAGCCCCACCGGGAGCAAUGCCAAAUAGGGGCCCUGCGCCGGAGCGAUCCGGCAGGGAUGCCUUGACCCCAGGGGCCCGGGUUGGCAGCCAGAGGGUCGUCGGCAACGGCGGCUUGAGACGAAUGAUCAUCCAUCCGCGCAUGUCGCGGGGGACAGAAUCCGGCUUACAGGCCGUCCGUGUCA
rnacentral:RNase_P_RNA from 1 species